rnacentral:tRNA from 1 species
CAAAUUAUUACUUUAUAGGAAGUAUUUUUAUUUACAUUAAAAAUUUAAUUGUGCGAUUCAAUUUAAUUUGA